rnacentral:rRNA from 1 species
GUAGUCCACGCCGUAAACAAUGGACACUAGGUGUUGGAGGACUCGACCCCUUCAGUGCCGCAGCUAACGCAUUAAGUGUCCCGCCUGGGUAGUACGGCCGCAAGGCUAAAACUCAAAGGAAUAGACGGGGACCCACACAAGCGGUGGAGCAUGUGGUUCAAUUCGACAACAAACGAGGAACCUUACCUAGGCUUGACAUCCCAGGAAGGUCGCCGAAAGGUGACUGUGCCGUAAGGAACCUGGAGACAGGUGCUGCAUGGUUGUCGUCAGCUCGUGCCUUGAGGUGUUCGGUUAAGUCCGUAAACGAGCGCAACCCUUGUCUUCUGUUGUAUUUUUCAGAAGAGACUGCCGACUCUAAGUCGGAGGAAGGUAAGGAUGACGUCAAAUCAGCAUGGCCCUUAUGCCUAGGGCUACACACGUGCUACAAUGGCCGGUACAAUAGGAAGCAAUGGAGCAAUCCGGAGCAAAUCCCUAAAACCGGUCUCAGUUCAGAUUGAGGGCUGCAACUCGCCCUCAUGAAGUUGGAAUCGCUAGUAACCGCGUAUCAGCUAUGGCGCGGUGAAUAUGUUCCUGGGUCUUGUACUCACCGCCCGUCAAGCUAUGGAAGGUGGGAGCACCCGAAGUCCCGUUACUCUGCGGAGGCGGGCCUAAGGUGAAACCACUGACUGGAGCU